rnacentral:snoRNA from 1 species
GUAUAGCCAAUGAAGCUGAACAGGCUCUAUUCCUCAUGGUACCUGGUGUGAGAUGGUGCAAACAGCAGCCUUAUUGGUAAGAUGCACAGCUUGUUGCUUGUGUGGGCUGCCAAGGAGACAGUU